rnacentral:rRNA from 1 species
GACGAACGCUGGCGGCGUGCUUAACACAUGCAAGUCGAACGGAAAGGCCCUGCUUUUGUGGGGUGCUCGAGUGGCGAACGGGUGAGUAACACGUGAGUAACCUGCCCUUGACUUUGGGAUAACUUCAGGAAACUGGGGCUAAUACCGGAUAGGAGCUCCUGCUGCAUGGUGGGGGUUGGAAAGUUUCGGCGGUUGGGGAUGGACUCGCGGCUUAUCAGCUUGUUGGUGGGGUAGUGGCUUACCAAGGCUUUGACGGGUAGCCCGCCUGAGAGGGUGAACGGGCACAUUGGGACUGAGGUACGGCGCAGACUCCUACGGGAGGCAGCAGUGGGGAAUAUUGCACAAUGGGCGGAAGCCUGAUGCAGCAACGCCGCGUGCGGGAUGACGGCCUUCGGGUUGUAAACCGCUUUCGCCUGUGACGAAGCGUGAGUGACGGUAAUGGGUAAAGAAGCACCGGCUAACUACGUG